rnacentral:lncRNA from 1 species
GUGUCCGUCUCGGGAUCCGCCUCGCAUAAUCCGUUGCGUUUUGUCGUACUUCCGUCGGUGAGCAGUCAUUAAGACGGCUCACAGCCCAUCAUUCGGGAUCUUUCAUUCCCACCACAUUUGUGGUGGAUUUCGACUAGGCAGGAGCAAUACAAUCUGUCUGUCUCCUUGAAGCUGCAUGGCCCUUUCCUUUUUUCUCUAUUUCCUCUAUUUCCAAGUGCCGUAUCCAUAACUGGAGAACC